rnacentral:sRNA from 1 species
GAAAAAGCUGGAGCAACCAAGCAGGGCCCACAAGCCGAGGAGGGCUGUAUAAAAGCGCAGGGGCCAUUUUACCUCCAGGUUGGCCCUGCUCAGGACCAGGAGGAAACACCUCCAGCCCGCGACCUCCUCCCACAGGGGGAAAAGGAAAGCAGGAGGACCACAGAAGCUUUGGCACCGGGGAUCCCCGCAGUCUUCACCCGCGGAGAUUCCGGCUGAAGGAGCUGUCCAGCGACUACACCGCUAAGCGCAGGGAGCCCAAGUCUCUGCACCGGAUUCCGGAGCACAAGCUCCACUGCGCAUGCGCACACGCCCUAGACCCAGGCUCAGGAGGACUGAGAAUUUUCUGACGGCAGUGCACCAUGGGAAGCUCUGAAGUUUCCGUAAUUCCUGGGCUCCAGAAAGAAGAAAAGGCGGCCGUGGAGAGACGAAGACUUCAUGUGCUGAAAGCUCUGAAGAAGCUAAGGAUUGAGGCUGAUGAGGGCAAUAUCUUCUCUCUACACCAACGACGGUGACAUGGAAGCUCUCGAGGCUGACCUGAAACA